UACGUAGGGUGCAAGCGUUGUCCGGAAUUAUUGGGCGUAAAGAGCGUGUAGGCGGCCCGAUUAGUCCGCUGUGAAAGUCCAGGGCUCAACCCUGGAAUGCCGGUGGAUACUGUCGGGCUAGAGUCCGGAAGGGGCGAGUGGAAUUCCUGGUGUAGCGGUGGAAUGCGCAGAUAUCAGGAGGAACACCAAUGGCGAAGGCAGAUCUCUGGGCCGUAACUGACGCUGAGGAGCGAAAGCAUGGGGAGCGAACAGG
rnacentral:rRNA from 1 species